GGGGGGAGGCCGGAUCCUGGGCUGUGUCCCCGGCGCCCUGUGCUCUUGGGCCUGCGUUGUUGGGAUUCGCGCUCCCUACUGGGUAGCCCCCU
rnacentral:pre_miRNA from 1 species